rnacentral:sRNA from 1 species
AAGGGCAUAUAAUAAUA